rnacentral:lncRNA from 1 species
GUUUUUUAAAGCAACAUAGUUGUCAUUGCCUGACACCUUCUGGUUAGAAGAAGAAAGUACCAGAGAAAACCUUGAAGAAUGAGAUCCAUGAAGUGGAUGGACAUCUUGGGACAGAAGGUGGCUGCCCUUGAGGUACAGAAGCAGACAGCCACAGUGUGAGCCUUGGGUGCCGCUGACCCCGGACAGCCACAGUGUGAGCCUUGGGCGCUGCUGACCCCGAAGUUUAACAAUGUCCAGAGGAUUUAGAUCCUUAGUUACAGUGAAACUAAAAAAAAAAAAAAAAUCGAUAAAUUAAAUUUCCAUGCAUGUUUCUUUUUAUAUAUGCUUAACUUACAUGCUUACAGUAGCUUAGUUGAAUCCUUUCUAUAAAAAUAGAGUAAGAACUGUGAGAGAACAUUGAAUCCCAAUGGUACUCUUGCUUUUCUUCCUUAGUUGUAGAUAAAAUGGAAGAUAAAACACUACUGUAUAGUACAGUACUAUUCUUUUUUUUUUACAUUAUUUUUCUAAUCUGCUUUAAUCAAAAACCAAAGUAACCCAUCCAUGUAUAGACUAAAGCAUUUCAAGUUCCUUCAGGGGUGCAUGGGCUGGGUUUAGGAUGUUGUUGCUACAGUGAUGGCAUAGAGUAUCUUAGGAGAUGAGAUCUGACAUUAUUUAUUUUAUAGUCCUGUGGUUUGUACAACUUAAUUGUGAUGAAGUCUCAGCGACUCUUCUCAGCGUCUUGAGUAGACACUUUGCAAAGCAGAUUCCAGACAAAGAUGUGAAGGAGCCUAGGUGGUAAUGAUACCAUCACAUACAACUGGAGAAUUUUACCACUUACAUUUUUUUUGAUGGAACAUAGAUGUUUGAAUCGGCAGAAAGAUAAUAGAAAAGUCAGACAUGUGCUUGGAAGCCAGGAAGCAUCCAGAAGCAGAGAAGAUCUGGCACUUGAUAGAAAAAAAAAGAUAUGAACACAGACAGCACUGGACUCGCAGAGACCGCCUUUACAACUCCAGGGACAGCUGUUGACACAGACUCCUGGUUCUGCUUGACAUCUUUCUUCUCAGAUAGAAGCUCCCGGACUUCCAGACCGGCUCCAGUGGAGUCACGGGAAGGAAGAAGAGGAAAUUGUAAACCACGAGGCAUCAUGCCAGAGGAAAUGCCUCCGGUGACCCAGACUGAAUGCCCUAUGGUCUCAAAGACCCCACAUUCAAACUGCACGAUGUCUGGGUGUGCUUGACUCCAAGUCUCAGGCAGGGGCUAUCCUCUGUCUCUGCUUUUCCGUACCAUGCUCUCUGCUGUAUAUCUUCCUUAAGCUGCGUAAUAAAGAAUGAUAAGGGCUUCA